rnacentral:rRNA from 1 species
CUACGGGGGAUGCAAGCGUUAUUCGGAAUCAUUGGGCGUAAAGGGCACGCAGGCGGUUCUGUCAGUCAGAUGCGAAAGCCCGGGGCUUAACCCCGGACGUGCAUUUGAAACAGCAGGACUUGAGUAUGGUAGAGGAAAGCGGAAUUCCUGGUGUAGAGGUGAAAUUCGUAGAUAUCAGGAGGAACACCGGUGGCGAAGGCGGCUUUCUGGACCAAAACUGACGCUGAGGUGCGAAGGCGUGGGUAGCGAACAGGAUUAGAAACCCUAGUAGUCC